UUUCCCCUUACCGGCGGACNGUGGUCCANUANUCCAUAAUCCGNCGNAUNGNGUNACNAGNACNGAUUNGCCCGNAGAGNAUGAGGCGUGGGAGUCUUCGGCUCUCCUUACGGCCAUGAUGGGAGGGGGAAAUAGGGGGGAGGGNACGAGNACGGCGGACAGUGUACNACUCUGCGCUCGUGNUGGCUGAGGUCGGGGAUAGUAGGCAGUGACGAUNAGUACGGAGUGCAGGGGGAAGCGNCACGUGACUCGGGGUUGAGACAGNANAGGGGCCUGGGGCCGGUCGUGCGNCCGCGUAUAUCAACUUUGUUAACCUGGCAUCAGACGUAGCAUGCGGCAUACAGGACAUAGGNCGGGUGAGGGCGAAAGACCAAGAGCACGUGAGAAUAAGCAUAAUGCGCUAGUUCACGCUACGCAUCGUCACAUAUCAGAAUCGGGAUUGAGCAUAGCAUAGAUGUGGUACGGGGUCAGUGGUAUCACCCGUCUCGCGUGCUCGCUAGCUAACGCUGUAAGUAUACCCGCCUGGGGAGUACGGCCGNCAAGGUUGAAACUCAAAGGAAUUG
rnacentral:rRNA from 1 species